CAUGUUACCCUUGGAUUGGUCACCUCAGGGGAGCAGUGGGUCACUGGGGCAUCUGGUUGUCAUUUCCUUCCAGAACAGCAUGAGGCAGGAGUUGCACAGCAAAGAGGAAAAGAAUUAUUGAUUGGCUUCCAAUCUACAUGUACAAUUAGGUCUACCAAAGCCAUUGCAAUAAGGCUGUCUUCAAAAAAUCAGAAACAUCUGGUUUCAACUGAGCUCAGGGACUAAUAAACUAAUAUUCAUCAUGAAAGGGGAAAAGCUUCAAUGAACUAGCCAGCCAGAGUGAGUGAGGUUGCUGGUGUUAAAGGGGCUGUGAGGCCCACUUCAAAAUCGUUUGGAGAAUGAGAUGCACAUGGAMCAGCUGAUGAACCACGGUAACCUUCUGCUAUGCCUGAGAUCAGGAUCUGAGGUUAAAGAGGAAGCAACAAGCUUGUUAUCCAUGUGGCGGAAUGCACCAGAUUAUUCCAUGGUUUUGGGGCGUAUCCUAAAACAAGAUUGAAGGCCAUCUUCUGCCCCUGCGGUGGCAGUGGGCAGUCGUGAGAAAAUGGACUUUUAAAAGUGAGGUAAAUGUUAACUUCAAAUAGGAUAAGCAUACAUUAUUAUCAAAGCAGGAAUUCUUAAAUUUCUUCACAGUGAGAAGGGGAAAAAAAACAAGUUUUCUUUUUUUUUCUGGCUUUACUUGCUCUCUUCUUGUCUUCUCCUCAACAUGACUUUGUUUUUCUUUUUUAUUAUGGCUUUAUUUUUCUGUGAGCUGUUGACAUCUGAAGCCAAACAUCCCCAUUGUGGAGAGAGGCUUCUUAGGUUUGACAUGAGGCCUCCUACUCUGUUGUUAUAUAAUCUAGUUUUGACACAGAAUUUACUUUUUACUUUCUGAACUAUGCUGUGUAUGACAUUUAUCUGAAGAAGAGUGAUUUUAAUUUUAGAAUCUGCACAUACUCUAUUUGCUUGCACAGGAGCUGUUAUUUUUCUUUAUAACUCUAAAUAUGAUGAGUUAUCCAUCUAGCAAAAUCAAGAGUCAUAUCCAUUUACAAGCUAAUUCAUACUUAGUAAGUGGCUCUUAAUCUAGAAAGAGCAAGGGGAGAAAAUAUUGCUCCCCUUUCCUUAUUGCUCCCCUUAAUAAAACGGCGUUUUGGUUCAAAACUGAAGUUGUGAGAAUCUCAGAGGCUUUCCUUUAAAGGUUUCAGAUUUCAAGAUAGUUUAAGAAUGAAAAGCUCAGCCUUUGACAAGGUUUCGAUCAGAUCAGACUUGAUUAAAGCCUCUGCAGGCCUACUCAUUUAACAAAGUCAUGACUAAAGAGCUCAUUUUUGACUUUUUACAGUUAUGUAACAGCUUAAUCUGAAAUUUAUAUCCUAACCUGCAGAAGCAGUUAGUGGACCUUAUCAUACACCUUGGUCAGCCACUGAACACUACAUCUAGACAUCUUCUAAGGGUUUUUGUGCUUUGAAAAGGAUGACUACAGUCAUUAAAGAGUGAGAUAGUUCUUGGUGAGACGGUAAAGGAUCAGUUGUUUGUUCAGUGUCCAUCAGCAUAACCCUUGAUGGCUGAAGUGUAGCCAGCGGUUACUGUCAGCAUUGUCAUGGCUGCUGUGUUUCAUGAAUAUAGAAUUAUAUAACUUUAUAUUAGAAGUUUUUCUUGAGGUCAUUGGGCAAAAUGACAAAAAUGGGCAUAUAUUUGCCUAAAAGAAGCCAUCCUGCCUACCAACUCACCAACAGGAUCAUAAGCCCUAGGUGCUUCUGAGAAGUAUGGGCAGCUCAGUAGCGAAAUCAUUCAGGAGAUUUUGAAGAUGAGGAUGGAAAUUUUAAAGCUGGCUGUGAAUUGCUGCCCCAGCUGCUUGCUGUAACUUGAUGAAGACCAUACAGCUUUGCUUAGCAAUAAUCAGGGGAAUAGCUACAUUUGUCAAAUGGGACACUUUUCAAAAAUUCUGCAGAUAUCCUCAAGUAUACUCUGUUGCAAUAAUCAGUGUGAGAAGUUUAAAASGACAUCGUACUUUGAUGUCCUUUUAAAGUCUAUAACUCUGCCCACAAUUGCACAAGUAGGUCCUUACAUAAUGAAAUAAUUAUCUUCAGUGGUCUUCAUUUAAUUCUCCAAUUACUGCAGUUUGUUAGCGAGGUAGGAGCCCCUUUUAUAACUGUGGCUUAAAAAUAAUAAAGUUUUCUUCCAAUUUGGGAGCUGAAGCAGACUAUGAGAAUGUAAUAUAUAGGUGCUGUGCUUUUUGACUCUUAAGAAGACAUCACUCAAUAUUAAUUUGACUAGAAGAUGUAGAUGUCUUC